GAAAAAAAAACAUGCAAGAUUAAAUUUUUUAGAGAUUUCGGUGGAGAUCAAAAACUGAAGUUUUACAACCAAGGGGCCCAGAAGUAGAGUUGGGAAGGAGCCAUUGGCCCUUUCCCACUUUACACCCUGGCAUGAUGAUCUAAAGUUACGUUUUAUAGGUUAAAUACUCUUUGUGUGUUAAAACAGCUUUACGUGUAGCGCCUCACCUCCUGGAGUCAUCACACCUUUGAAGACGCAGAUAUUCUCUCCUCCGUUGACUUGCUGGAGCACUUUCAGCUCAUCCCGAGUUGACCCCAACCCCGACCCCCGGCGACCUUGUCCAAGGGUGACCUCCAGUUCUCUGAGAGGCAACAGAGGAGAAAGAUCCUCUUCGUUUGUCGUACAGGGUUCUCCAGGAGGAGCAGUUGGCUCUUGGCUCGGAUCAGGCUGGCGAUGGAUUGGAUAAUUUUAGCAUCUCUACCGGGCUGACCUGGGAUCUGUAAUACGAACACGUCACAUCAUGUACGCUGUGGAGCCGACAGCCGGACGUCAUGAACAUGCUCGACACUUACAGGAGCAUCCCUGUCUCCUCCAUGGUCGCCCCGGUAGAAGAGAGGCUGGCUGUUUUUCCGGAUUCUUCUCAUUGAGUCCUCAUGAUACAGAAACAAAAACAUUGAUUUUAACAUGCAUCCCUUAAAAUAUAUGGAUAUUUUACAUGAAAUGUAGAGUUUAGUUUAAUACAGAGUUACCUGAAUGAAUGAAUCCCAAAGUAAAAAACCAAAUGUGCACCACUUUACAUUACAAUUUGUAAUAACAAGGUAAUAAUGGGUACAUAUCUGCAUUAUCUUGUGUGCUAAUGACUGAGAGAAUAACCAUAUUUAGCCUAAAUACAUGUGUUAUCGCUGUGUGCUUCUACAAUGUUGUUUUAAGUGGAUAAAUAACUAUUUAAAGCACAUAUUCGCUCGCUCGUCGAAAAAUACCAUUGGAAGAUUUACACCACUUUUAUAUCUCUGGGUUUAUGACGAGUCAGGGUUAGCUUAGCUUAGCAUAAAGCGUGAUAGCACAAACUGUAGGCUUGGCUUUGACCAAAGUUUAAAAACAUGCCUAUCAAGACCUAAAAUCCAGUUGUUACGCAAUGAGGAGUUAAAAAACGACAACUUGUGGUUUAAGAGUGAAAAAAGUCAGUUACAUGUUGUAACUAUUUAGGCCAGGCUAGCCGCUUGUCUAUAUGCUAAGCUAUCGGCUAAACAACAGCUUUUACAUUUCGAAGAGACGAUACCUGUGGAAAAUGUGGAGCAAACCAGGUUCAUAUUAUUACCAAUGUGUUAUUACUUCUUGUAAUACAACCAGUGACCAUGCCACAUCGGUGUGAGCUCAUUCUUCAGUCUGGUGAGCAUCAUAGAGGAUUUAGACUGAAGGGGGCAGGUGAAAUGGGAUUAUGUCUCAUGUGCAUGGUUCGACUCCCACCGGGGAUUCGUGUUGAAAUCCACCUUUGGGAAACUGAAUUAAGAUGACAUUGAUCUCUCCCCCCCCCCCCACACACACACAUUGUAAACUAACAAGCCUCCUUUGUUCCCUUCACAGCCUGUCAGUGACUUAGAGUUUCUGUAACCUAAUCACUUCAUCCGCCGCCAUGUCAUCUGCUGGGCUCAGCGCUUCUGGGACAGGAGGCAGCAGGCAGGCAGCCAUGUCCUUAGAUUAGCGGCCUGUGUGUGCACGCAUGAGUGCACCUCAGCCUCAGAUGGUAAAUAGCAAAAGGAAAAACGAGGCUUGUGUGGUCAGUACUUUUUACUGCAGUUGCCAUACACAGCUGUGUUGCACCCUUCAGUGGCUGUAAAGAGAAGUGUUCCUGCCACUACGUAGAGCGGCAUGUGUUAGACAUCGAUCUGUAAUCAGGUUUUCCUUCAGUUUGAGGCUUUUUAAUCAUCUUAAAAAUGCAUGGUGAAUUUAUUCCUCUUUUUUUCCAUUGCCAGUGGUUCAGCUUCAGGAUUCUCGACUUAAGUUCAAGUCACUGAAAAAAUAACCUGAACUCCACUGACAGAAAAAAUAAAAAUGUACGAUCAAUAAAAUAAACAGCAUUAAAAUAAGCAUUAAAAAAAAUACUGUUAUUUAUUAUCAUGGAAAAUAAGAAUUAAAAUAAGCAUUAAAAUAAGUAAUACAAUAAGUAUUAAAAUAAGCAUAAAAAAAAGCAUUACAAUAAGCAUUAAAAUAAGCAUUGUAAUGAUGUCGCUGGACCAGGUGGAGCUCAUUGCUUAUGGGUAGUUUCAUAUUUAACAAUGCAUCGCACUUUAUACAAAAAAUGACAUGAACCUGCAGUACCUCAUAUUGUCUCACGUUGCUUUUUAUACCAUGUUAAAAAAAUAACAGUAUUUUAU